CGCGAAAACUUUACAAUGCUGGCAACAGCGAUAAGGGAACCUCGAGUGCCAGGUUACAAAUCUGACUGUCGAGAUGCCUAAAAAGCAUUUCAUAGCAAGGGCCGGGCAAGACCGGUGCCAGCCGCCGCGGUAACACCGGCGGCUCGAGUGGUAACCGUUAUUAUUGGGUCUAAAGGGUCUGUAGCCGGCCGGAUAAGUCUCUUGGGAAAUCUGGCAGCUCAACUGUCAGGCUUUCAGGAGAUACUGUCUGGCUCGAGGCCGGGAGAGGUGAGAGGUACUUCAGGGGUAGGGGUGAAAUCUUGUAAUCCUUGAAGGACCACCAGUGGCGAAGGCGUCUCACCAGAACGGACCCGACGGCAAGGGACGAAAGCUAGGGGCACGAACCGGAUUAGAUACCCGGGUAGUCCUAGCCGUAAACGAUACUCGCUAGGUGUCGGCCACGGUGCGACCGUGGUCGGUGCCGUAGGGAAGCCGUGAAGCGASCCACCUGGGAAGUACGGCCGCAAGGCUGAAACUUAAAGGAAUUGGCGGGGGAGCACCACAACGGGUGGAGCUUGCGGUUUAAUUGGAUUCAACGCCGG
rnacentral:rRNA from 1 species